CAAUAGCGUAUAUUAACGUUGUUGCAGUUAAAAAGCUCGUAGUUGGAUUUCUGGUCGGAAGCUCCUGUCCUCUGAUGAGCGUACAAGUGCGUCCUACCAUCCUUCUGUUAACCUUUAAGGCUUUCGCGGCUUUCUAGGGGCUCAGAUAUUUUACCUUGAGAAAAUUAGAGUGUUUCAGGCAGGCUAGCGCCGGAAUACAUUAGCAUGGAAUAAUGGAAUAGGACUUUUGCCUCUUCUGUUGGUCAUGAGGCUCGAGUAAUGAUUAAUAGGGAUAGUUGGGGGCAUUAGUACUUAACUGUCAGAGGUGAAAUUCUCGGAUUUGUUAAAGACUAACUUAUGCGAAAGCAUUUGCCAAGGAUGUUUNCAUUA
rnacentral:rRNA from 1 species